AUUUAGAGUUUGAUCCUGGCUCAGGACGAACGCUGGCGGUGCGCCUAAUGCAUGCAAGUCGAACGAGCGAUCCGGGCUUGCCCGGUUAGCUAGUGGCAGACGGCUGAGUAACACGUAAGUAAUUUGCCCCGAAGAGGGGGAUAAUCCAGAGAAAUUUGGUCUAAUACCCCGUACCUUUCCUUCCAGCNUGCUGGAUUGAAAGAAAGGNUUCGGCCGCUUUGGGAGAAGCUUGCGGCUUAUCAGGUAGUUGGUGGGGUAACGGCCUACCAAGCCGAAGACGAGUAACCGGUGUGAGAGCACGAUCGGUCAGAGGGGGACUGAGACACGGCCCCCACUCCUACGGGAGGCAGCAGCAGGGA
rnacentral:rRNA from 1 species